CCUACGGGUGGCUGCAGUGGGGAAUAUUGCACAAUGGGGGAAACCCUGAUGCAGCGACGCCGCGUGGGUGACGAAGUAUUUCGGUAUGUAAAGCCCUAUCAGCAGGGAAGAAGAUGACAGUACCUGACUACGAAGCCCCGGCUAACUACGUGCCAGCAGCCGCGGUAAUACGUAGGGGGCAACCGUUAUCCGAAUUUACUGGGUGGAACGGGAGCGGAGGUGGCAUGGCAAGCCAGAAGGGAAAACCCGUUGCUUAACCCCGCAGUUUGCUUUUGGAACUGUCAGGCUGGAGUGCAGGAGGGGCAGGCGAGAUUCCUGGUGUAGCGGUGAAAUGCGUAGAUAACAGGAGGAACACCGGUGGCGAAGGCGGCCUGCUGGACUGUAACUGACACUGAGGCUCGAAAGCGUGGGGAGCAAACAGGAUUAGAUACCCCUGUCGUC
rnacentral:rRNA from 1 species